rnacentral:rRNA from 1 species
AUUGAACGCUAGCGGGAUGCUUUACACAUGCAAGUCGAACGAGUGGCGGACGGGUGAGUAAUGACUCGGAACGUGCCCAGUAGCGGGGGAUAACUACUCGAAACAGUGGCUAAUACCGCAUACUAUUGGAGCGGCCGAGAUCGGAUUAGCUAGUUGGUGGGGUAAAGGCUCACCAAGGCAACGAUCCGUAGCUGGUCUGAGAGGAUGACCAGCCACACUGGGACUGAGACACGGCCCAGACUCCUACGGGAGGCAGCAGUGGGGAAUUUUGGACAAUGGGGGAAACCCUGAGCCAGCCAUCCCGCGUGUAUGAGAAGGCCUUCGGAUUGUAAAGUACUUUUAGCUGGGAAGCGUUAUCAGCAGAAUAAGCACCGGCUAACUACGUGCCAGCAGCCGCGGUAAUUC